AUUGAACGCUGGCGGCAUGCCUUACACAUGCAAGUCGAACGCGAAAGAGGGGCAACCCUUGAGUAGAGUGGCGAACGGGUGAGUAACGCAUCGGAACGUAUCCAGUAGUGGGGGAUAACCCAUCGAAAGAUGGGCUAAUACCGCAUACGCCCCGAGGGGGAAAGUGGGGGAUCCGCAAGGACCUCACGUUAUUGGAGCGGCCGAUGUCCGAUUAGCUAGUUGGCGGGGUAAGAGCCCACCAAGGCGACGAUCGGUAGCUGGUCUGAGAGGAUGAUCAGCCACACUGGGACUGAGACACGGCCCAGACUCCUACGGGAGGCAGCAGUGGGGAAUUUUGGACAAUGGGGGCAACCCUGAUCCAGCCAUGCCGCGUGAGUGAAGAAGGCCUUCGGGUUGUAAAGCUCUUUCGGCCGGAACGAAAUCGCAUCCUCUAAUACGGGGUGUGGAUGACGGUACCGGAAGAAGAAGCACCGGCUAACUACGUGCCAGCCGCCGCCGUAAAAC
rnacentral:rRNA from 1 species